rnacentral:sRNA from 1 species
AAGAAGGAGCAAGCUAUGGAGGGGAACAGGGAUGAGGCUGAGAAAUGUGUCGAGAUCGCCCGGGAGGCCCUGAACGCCGGCAACCGCGAGAAGGCCCAGCGCUUCCUGCAGAAGGCCGAGAAGCUCUACCCACUGCCCUCGGCCCGCGCACUAUUGGAAAUAAUUAUGAAAAAUGGAAGCACGGCUGGAAAUAGCCCUCAUUGCCGAAAACCAUCAGGUAGUGGCGAUCAAAGCAAGCCUAAUUGCACAAAGGACAGCACAUCUGGUAGUGGUGAAGGUGGAAAAGGCUAUACCAAAGACCAAGUAGAUGGAGUUCUCAGGUAGGAAUAAAUAUGGUUUACAUCUCAAUCAUAAUUGGUAUUAAUGUACUUUUUGAUGUUAUAACACCUGAAAAAAGUGAAAUAUAACAUUAGAAGAAUAGACAUCAAGGAAUUGAACUCUGGGUGUGUCUUAUGCUUCAUAUUCUUUAUAAAACUGGUCUGUAAAGUACCAACUCUAUAGAAUAUUCUAUUUUUUAAAGUAACCUCAAGUUACAAAGCUUUUUCCAAAUAAUUUUUUUAAGAAAAAUUAUUGCAGCUUUUUCACACAAUAUGUUGUUUAUGUAGCAAUAUUAAAAGAGGAUGAAGAGUUGUUUUAUUUUACAUAGAUGAAAAUGGGAGAAUUUCAUGAGAGGAAUAUUGAGUGUAAUAGCAACAUUUUCAAUUUCCUACUUAUAUUAGUGAAGGAUGUUUUUCUAUUUAUAUUCUUUUUGAAGGGCUAUCUUUAUAUAUAUGCAGACACUAUAAUGUCUUUUCGCAGAAAUGUUAGAGUUGAAAAGUUAUAAACUGGGUUUUGGGUAUCUGGCUUUAAUUUUAUAAGUAAAAGGUUUUCUGGAAAUGAAAUGAAACUUUGAGUUUGAAACACUAGAGAAAAGUCUGUUUUGUUUCCUGCUAAAGCUUAAGGAAGCUGUAUUGAUGUUGUGCUGAUAUUACUUUGCUAGGGAAACUAAAGAUUAAGGAUUUUAAACAGAGAUUAAUUCAAGAAUUCUCAUGGAGAGUGAAUCAUAAUAUAGUGAACUAACUCAAGUGAAGAGUAGUUAAAAUUAGUUAGGUUAAGUCUUUCUCAUUUGUCCUUUCUUGUCUGUUUCUCUUUUAAUUUUAUUUCUUUUUUCACCUUUUUACCCCAUUCUCAACUUUUUAUUUACCAUAAUUUGUAAUUGAAGUGUAUUUUGAGAUACAGGUUUUAUUCAUUAAGGAAAGUGAUUUGUUACCAUAUCUUAAUUUUAAAAUCAAAUACCCAUAUAUUUAUAUUUUGCAUUUGUCCCUAUAUAUUUAAAUGCUAAAGCUUGAUUGUAACAUUUUAUUUGAGAGUGAUUACAAUGAGAAAAAAGGAUUCUCUGACUGAGUGUGGUGGCUCACGCCUGUAAUCCUAGCACUUUGGGAGGCCAAGGCGGGCAGAUCCCCUGAGGUCAGGAGUUCAAGACCAGCCUGGCCAACAUGGCAAAACCUCAUUUCUACUAAAAAUAGAAAAAGUAGCCGGGCGUGGUGAUAGGCACCUGUAAUGCCAGCUACUCGGGAGGCUGAGGCUGAGGAAUCACUUGAACUCAAGAGGCAGAGGUUGCAGUGAGCCAAGAUUACACCACUGCACUCCAGCCUGGGCGACAGAGCAAGACACCUUCUCAAACAAACAAACAAACAAACAAACAAAAAAGGAUUCCUUAAUCGUGGUAAAGCCGUGGUAGAGUAUUUGAUUAGUAUGAAUGGUAGUGAAGCACUUUGAGAAUAUAAAUAAUGCUGCUAACCAUUUUUAUACUUAUAGUACUGUGUCAGAGGUAGCUAAAUAAGUGAAAGAAGUGAAUAAGUAAGAGACUUACUUUUGAAUUUAUUUCGUAAAAAACUUUUAUUAGUAAGCAGUGUGCUUGAAACACGUCUCUGGAAACCACAUCCUAAAACAAAUUGUAUUUGCUUAUAGGAUUUAAUUUAUGUUGGGAGAACAUAUUCUCAAUGAAGGAUUCAAAGAAAGUUAAAUGUAUUUUAUAUAUAUAUAUUUAAGAAUACAGAAUCACCUAUAUAUUUGAAAGUUUACCAAAAAACUAUGGUUGAAAGUUUUGAAAAAGAAGACUCUCCUAAAUCUGGUGUUAUUUUAAAAAGUCUGUUUCUUCAUUUCCUCUACCCUAGCCUUGAAAGAAAAAGAAGAGUAGUCCAAGGUGUGGUAGAAAUAAGGAAGGAAGAGCAUUGAUGCCUCUUUGUUCUGGUAUUGAUUAUAUAUAUAUGUGGGGUGGGGUUGGUUUUGUGUGUAUGUGGGUGGUUGUGUGUGUGGUUCUCCAAAGCCUAGAGGAACUGGCUGUAGGCAAGGAGACACCUUGAGAAUGGAAGAAUGAAAGAUGAUGCUGAGUGUAGAUACACUCUGUAUGUGGCCAGAGACAUACAGAGACAUACAGGUGGAGACAUAAAAGGUGGAAGGAAUUUUUCUGUUUUCUCUGUCAAAUUGGAGAUGAGGCUGUCUUCUGAGAGUCAGAAGAAAAGAGAUGAGGUUGAAAGCUUAAGAGAGUGGUAAAAGUAUGGAAUAUUUGCAGAGGAGAAAAGCAAAGGGAAUGAAGUAUUGCUGAUUUAGUUUUAAGGCCCAGCCACAUUUGGGACCAUGAAUUCUUUAAGAGUGGAAGAAAUAGCUUAGUAGUAUACCUGUAUUAGAGAUUGUUCCUCUGGUCAAUAAUCUCAUUAUACCUUUUUAAUUAAAUGUAAUUUUUUUUUCUUUUGGGGACUAAAUAUGAUUGGAACAGUCUCUAAGAGAAUCCCCAAGUUUUCAAAAUACUUUAGUCUGUACUUUAUGUGAGUUUCUUAGCUGAGUAUACCUUUUCUCUUAUAUUAGCCUUCAUAAGUGUUGCUUUAGUGAGGGUACAGAUCACCAGCAAACACUUACAUGAUGUAUGUUUUUGUUUUUUCUUUUACCUAUACACAGGGGAUUUUUCUGAAGAAAGCCAUGUUAUCUUGUUGGUUAGCACGAUUAUGCAAACAAGUUGCUCAGUGACAAUUUGGCUCAAUGGGGAGAAGUCUUGCAAUAAUACUGCAUCCGUUGCAUAAGUAAGAGCUAGCUUACAGUAAGACUGAAGAGAAAGUGUGUAACUUUGUAAACUAAUAUUCUGUUAAACUUGGCGGUUUGUUUUUUUUGAGUUGAAGUGUAUUGAAAAAUAAUUGAGACAAAGUUGUCAUGGAUCUUAUUUGAAAUUUUUAGCAUACCAUUGAAAAACUUUAAAACUUUACAAGAUCAGUGUGAAAUUAUUAACUGGAGUAUCAUUGUAUUUAUCAAUUAGAAACACUGUACAACUGUUAAUUAUGGGGAUUUGAAUUUAAGAUUUGAUUUAAGCUUCCGUUCUUUCAGAAGAAAUCAUUUCGCUAAACUUAUAAAAUAAGUAAUUCUUUUUCUCAGGAAUAAAUAAAUGUUUCCUUAAACACUAGUUAAAUUUGGAGUAUAUUUAAAUAAUUAGCUAUAUAGCACACAUGAAAAAAAGAGAAUCGAAAAAUGACCUUCCUCUCCCACCAACUAUGCUUCCAUGCACAUAAGAGAAGAUAUAAAGUCUGGACCAGGCAGAGUUUUCCCAUUGUUGAGCUCCACACAGAUCCUUUUGGCCUUGUUGUACAUUAUUUCCUUCCAAGAUAGGUAAUGGGUUACUCCUUUUUAAUUUCUUUUAAUUCUUCAGUGAGGCAGGAGAAGGUUUUACUCUUUUAGAAAGCAGCAGAUUGUAAAAAGUGUGACAAACACAUGUAGCUGAUGAAAAGGAGCAUGAUGAACAACAGUAUGAAUGAAAAUAAUUAUAUGAAUGAUAAUUUCUCAUUCAGGUAUGAAAACUUAGGUGAAUGGGUAUAUUUGGAGCAUUACUUCAAAUACAUAGUCUUCAGGCUGUCCAUUGGUGAUGAUGACUGUAACUUCUGGCUUCUCAAGAAUUUCUUCUCUAAUAUAUGAUGAAAAAUUUAGUGCAGAGAAGAUAUGGUGGAGCUGGAUACAGCUAAGAGUUAGUGAAAUAACUGUUUUUCAUGUCUGGCCUCCCCUUUUUUUUUUGUUUGUCUGUGGCAAUUCUUAGCUUUAUGACCCUAUCUAGAGCACUGCAAAUUUUCACCUACUUUGUCUACAGUAUCCAGCUGUCUUUUUAAGUUGACCAGGCUUUUGUGCUCAGUAAUUAUAAACAAGACAAUUUAGAGGCUUAAUCUGGAACAUAAUUAAACAUCCUACACACUCAAACCAAGUAGUAAUGGCUUUAGGAUUGUUCAGUGUUUAAUUUACCUUUUAUUUUUUGCAUUCAGGUAGUGUCUGCCAUAUUCGUACCUCUCCACCUUGUCUCACAGUCUGUUUCACUUCUAUUAACUGCUUCUCUUCUAUUCCAAAUGAUUUUUAGUACUAACUACAUUUUCAUGACAGCAUUCAUCACAUUUGAUCUGAACGUGACUUUUUAGAUCCUCACCAUUUCUGCUCUCAAAUUGAAAGUCAUUUGUCCAUCCAUCCAACAUAUGUGGUGAACAAAACAUAAUCCCUGCCUUCAAAGAAUCUGUGAUCUAGAAGUGUUAUCAGACAAGUAAAGAGGCAACUGUAGUACACUUUGGUAAUUGUUGGGAUAAGGCUAAGUUCAGAGGAUGUGGGGAGGAUAUAAGAGGGGCAGCAAACCUAGUCCUGAGGAAUUUGGAUUCUUAGGAAAAGGAAGAGCUAAGCCAGGGUCCGGAGAAGUUGUAGAAACUAGCUAACCAAGAAGAGAGGCAGAGAAGGUGUGCUCAGCACCAAAAACAAUUGCAAAGAUCUAGGAGGUAAGAGAGUCAGCUUCAAUACUGAUGGUAAGAAAGAAAUAGGAAGAUGAUAGGUCACUUUGAAGUCUGAAGGGUAUCCUUUUUCCUGUAUUCCAGUUCUGAGAUAGCAAGAUUUUCAAGUCAGAUAAACAGAUUUGAAUUCUUAACUUGUGAGGCCUUCCUUUAUUACUUAUUUGAAAUAGAAGGCCUGCCCUUCCUUUCUCUGUUUCUAUUAGCUUCUUUAUUUUUCUCCAGAUAUUUAUCACCAUAUGAUGUACAUUAUAUUUUACUUAUAUAUUUGUUUAUUGCUUGUUCUUCUCCCAAUUGUAAAUUUAAUGUGAUUUUGACUGUUUUAUUCACCACUGUUGCAUCUGAAAUUGUGCCUAACAGAAAGUAAAUGGUUAGUAAAUUUUUGUUGAAGAAAUAAGUCCUCAUUCUCAUCUGUUACUUGGUUAUGUGAAUUUAGGCAAUUUAUUUAACCAUUCAAAGAUUGGUUUCCUUAUUGGUUAAAUAGGAAUAAUAUCUACCAAAUGAGGAGUAAAUGAGAUAAUUUGUGUAAAAUAAUCAGUAUAAUAAAAUUCUACAAUUCUUUAUGUGAAAUCUUUGUGACCAAAUGCAAUUUGGAAUUCAGAAUUCUUCAUAUUUUAGAAAGGUACUAAUAUAGUCGGCUCUCCACAUCUAUGGGUUCUGCAUCUGUGGAUUUAACCAACUUUGAAUUGAAAGUAUUUGGUGAAAAAUAACAAUACAACAAUAAAAAAUAAUACAAAUUAAACAACCAAUAUAGUGUAACAACCAUUUACGUAGCAUUUACAUUGUCUUAGGUACUAUUUAUAACCUAGAGAUUAUUUAAAGUACAUGGGAAGAUGUGUAAAGGUUGUAUGUAAAUACUGUACCAUUUUAUAUCAGGGAUUUGAGCAUCUGUAGAUUUUGGUAUUCAAGGAGGGAGGAUCCUGGAACUAAUCCCCUGUGGAUACCAAGGGAUGACAGUGUAUUUUAUAUUAUACAUCUUAGAGUCUAGGGCAGCAGUCCAUAACAAAUAGUAACAUUUCUACAGCAAAACAUACAGGUAUUCACACUUAAAUGGGAUAAAUGAAGAUUCUGUAGUAGCUUCACAUCUUUUCGGUCAGAUUUUUGCCUAGAGGCAAAAUCUACAGUUGAAUUCAGUUUUUUAUGCAGUCAAAUUAGUUAUAGAAUAACUUUGAUUUUUCAGAGCUUUAUGGAUAUUGGAACAUUGAUAUGGGAUGGUGGACCUGUACCUAACACACAGUAGGUAUUUUAUAAAUGCCCCCCAUUUCCUUUUUUUCUAUUACAUAGCUUCUAAACAUUUCUAGGAGAAUGAGUCUCUACACAGGUGGGAUCAUUCUCUUUUUUUGUUUACAGAUAUAUGUCAAAUGCCUAGAACACUGUCUGGGCAUAGUUAGUAUUCAAUAAAUAUUAUUGACUAAAUAAAGGAAAUGUCAUGUUUUUGGAAUAAAAUUGAUGUAUGUUAAUGUUUUUAAGUAUCUAAAGUAGAAAAAUCCAAUUUUAAUUUCUGUAAAUUUGUACAAUUUUAUAUUACUUUCCCUUUUUACCCCAAGUUCAUAUAACAAAUGAUAGAUGCCUUCAUUAUAUAAAGAAAGCUAAGGCUCAUUUACUUCAAAAAUAUUUACUGAGACCCUUUUGUGUGCCAAGCACUGUGAUAACUAAUAGGUGUAAUAGUAAAAAAAAAAAAAAAAAAAA